CAGCCGCCGCGGUAAUACGGAGGGUGCAAGCGUUAAUCGGAAUUACUGGGCGUAAAGCGUGCGUAGGCGGUUCGUUAAGUCUGUUGUGAAAGCCCCGGGCUCAACCUGGGAAUGGCAAUGGAUACUGGCGAGCUAGAGUGUGUCAGAGGAUGGUGGAAUUCCCGGUGUAGCGGUGAAAUGCGUGGAGAUCGGGAGGAACAUCAGUGGCGAAGGCGGCCAUCUGGGACAACACUGACGCUGAGGCACGAAAGCGUGGGGAGCAAACAGGAUUAGAUACCCCCGUAGUCCCUGUCUCUUAUAC
rnacentral:rRNA from 1 species